AUUGAACGCUGGCGGCAUGCCUUACACAUGCAAGUCGAACGGCAGCACGGGAGCAAUCCUGGUGGCGAGUGGCGAACGGGUGAGUAAUGUAUCGGAACGUGCCCAGUCGUGGGGGAUAACGUAGCGAAAGCUACGCUAAUACCGCAUACGAUCUAUGGAUGAAAGCGGGGGAUCGCAAGACCUCGCGCGAUUGGAGCGGCCGAUAUCAGAUUAGGUAGUUGGUGGGGUAAAGGCCCACCAAGCCUGCGAUCUGUAGCUGGUCUGAGAGGGCGACCAGCCACACUGGAACUGAGACACGGUCCAGACUCCUACGGGAGGCAGCAGUGGGGAAUGUUGGACAAUGGGCGCAAGCCUGAUCCAGCAAUGCCGCGUGCAGGAUGAAGGCCUUCGGGUUGUAAACUGCUUUUGUACGGAACGAAACGGCUUUUUCUAAUACAGAGAGCUAAUGACGGUACCGUAAGAAUAAGCACCGGCUAACUACGUGCCAGCCGCCGCAGUAAGAC
rnacentral:rRNA from 1 species